AGCUUUGUGGUGCAAUGGCAGCAUGUACAAUCUCUAUCUAAUAUUUCCGGAUCUGAGACAGUUGUGAGAUACGGGUUCGAUUCCCGUUAAAGUUC